CAUAGCUCAGUUGGUUAGAGCGUCGGAUUGUGGUUCCGAAGGUCGUGGGUUCGACCCCCACUGUUCACCCUCCA
rnacentral:tRNA from 1 species